UACGGAGGGUGCGAGCGUUGUCCGGAAUCAUUGGGCGUAAAGGGCGCGUAGGUGGCCCAGCAAGCGUGCGGUGAAAGCUCGGGGCUCAACCCCGAGUCGGCCGUGCGAACUGCUGGGCUGGAGCACUGUAGAGGCAGGCGGAAUUCCGGGUGUAGCGGUGGAAUGCGUAGAGAUCCGGAAGAACACCGGUGGCGAAGGCGGCCUGCUGGGCAGUUGCUGACACUGAGGCGCGACAGCGUGGGGAGCGAACAGG
rnacentral:rRNA from 1 species